rnacentral:rRNA from 1 species
GACGAACGCUGGCGGCGUGCCUAAUACAUGCAAGUAGAACGCUGAAGGGAGAGCUUGCUCUUCUGGAUGAGUUGCGAACGGGUGAGUAACGCGUAGGUAACCUGCCUGGUAGCGGGGGAUAACUAUUGGAAACGAUAGCUAAUACCGCAUAAUAUUGACUAUUGCAUGAUAGUCAAUUGAAAGGUGCAAAUGCACCACUACCAGAUGGACCUGCGUUGUAUUAGCUAGUUGGUGGGGUAACGGCUCACCAAGGCGACGAUACAUAGCCGACCUGAGAGGGUGAUCGGCCACACUGGGACUGAGACACGGCCCAGACUCCUACGGGAGGCAGCAGUAGGGAAUCUUCGGCAAUGGACGGAAGUCUGACCGAGCAACGCCGCGUGAGUGAAGAAGGUUUUCGGAUCGUAAAACUCUGUUUGUUAGAGAAGAACAAAGUGCUAGAGUAAACCUG